rnacentral:rRNA from 1 species
UACGGGGGGGGCAAGCGUUGUUCGGAAUUACUGGGCGUAAAGGGCUCGUAGGCGGCCAACUAAGUCAAACGUGAAAUCCCUCGGCUUAACCUGGGAACUGCAUUUGUGACUGCAUAGCUAGAGUACGGUAGAGGGGGAUGGAAUUCCGCGUGUAGCAGUGAAAUGCGUAGAUAUGCGGAGGAACACCGAUGGCGAAGGCAAUCCCCUGGACCUGUACUGACGCUCAUGCACGAAAGCGUGGGGAGCAAACAGG